AUUGUCGUACCAAGGUGUCCGUAAGGUGGAACUGCGGAAGGAUCAUUG
rnacentral:rRNA from 1 species